GAUGAUACGGCGGCAGCAGCGGGGGUAAUGCAGGGGAGGUGAGGUGUGUUCGGUAGUACUGGGGGGAAAGGGCGCGUAGGCGGCCUGCUAAGACGAACGGGGAGUCCCCGGGCUCAACCCGGGAACUGCGUCCGAUACUGGCAGGCUUGAAUCCGGGAGAGGGAUGUGGAAUGCCAGGGGUAGCGGUGAAAUGCGUAGAUAUCUGGAGGAACACCGGUGGCGAAGGCGGCAUCCUGGACCGGCAUUGACGCUGAGGCGCGAAAGCCAGGGGAGCAAACGGGAUUAGAUACCCGAGUAGUC
rnacentral:rRNA from 1 species